rnacentral:piRNA from 1 species
UGCUGAACACCAUCAACGAGCAGGACUCUA